rnacentral:rRNA from 1 species
AUUACCGCGGCUGCUGGCACGGAGUUAGCCGGUGCUUCUUCUGCGAGUAACGUCAAUGCACAGUGCUAUUAACACUGAACCCUUCCUCCUGCNNUGAAAGUGCUUUACAACCCGAAGGCCUUCUUCACACACGCGGCAUGGCUGCAUCAGGCUUGCGCCCAUUGUGCAAUAUUCCCCACUGCUGCCUCCCGUAGG